GUCGGUCUCAGAUCCAGCAUAAAUUCAAAAUAGUGGGGCGUGUGUAGAUAUCUGCAAAAUGUUAGCAGAUAGAAAAAUAUCUGUGGUGUCUGUUGUUGACACAGUCACAGGAACUGCUAAUGCUAGAGAGUUUCCUUGUCGUUAUGGAGUUGAACGUUUGUCUGAAGGAAGGCACUGUCCGUAAGCCAAGCAAGAAGCAGGUUCGUGUUAGGAACUAAAUGUGCCCGCACCUUGAUCUUGGAUUCCCAGCCUCCCGAACGGGUGAAAAUGGCCUCCCAGAGAGUCUGAAGCAACUUAAAGUAAAUGGCGCACCAUGGAAGGGAUUAGAAUAUUCUGCAGAUUUGUGGGUGAGGAGCUUGAGGUUCCGAAGUCCACCCUUCCAAGAACCCUGAGGGCCGGGCUCCCGCCAAAGUGCUCGUCAAGGACGACAUGCCCGCUGAGGAGAGAGACCACCCGCCGCAGACCAGGAACGGGCCCCAAGCGGAGGAAGAUGGAGAGCGGGCAGAUGAGCAGGAGGCGGCAGAGAAGGGCGGAGGUGGCUAAGGCCGAGCAGGGGCAAGUCAGUCACAUGGCAGAGACACCCCACUCCGGCACCCCGGCAGGAGACUGGAGCAUCUCCCUGGGAAAAUGGUCAAGCAUGGUAGCAGGGCUGUGGGUGUCACAUUUAAGGGGGCACCCCAACACUUCGUCAUCAAGACGAAUGCUAGUGUAACAACUUCAAAUCUCUGACGGGCUAAGUAUUCAACAUGUUAAAUAAAGACAGAAUCCAAGCCUGCACUCGUGAGGCACCGCCCCACUCGCCUCACCCUGAUCGCGGCUCUGGUUCCAAUAAAACUUUAUUCACCACAAACAGGCAACUAGCCUGCAGGCUGGAGUU